rfam:Schistosoma mattheei strain Denwood, Zambia genome assembly, scaffold: SMTD_scaffold0023642
AUCUAGCUGACGAGUGCUAUAUAGGACGAAACGUGCAUCCUGGAU